CAGGAUUCUUUUCUGCAUUCUGGCGUCCUUCCAUGAAGACACAAUUACAGUCAGAGUAUAUAAACAGUUGAUGCCGACCUAAUCUUUUCUUCAUUAUGACCUGAAACCAGUGGCUCAGCCCAUAAACUCAUCAGGAAGGUUUGUACUGAUGUCAAGGGUAUGAUUCAGUGGUCCAUUUUGUUUAGGAAGAUCCUGAGUGAGUGAAGCAACCUGGAAGUCUCUACAUGAUGGCCAUAGCUUCAGAAGGGUUCAGAACAUUGUAACAGUUACAAAAUAAUCGAACACACUAACACAGUCCUGUUAAUAGCAACAUUUGGACAGGCAUUUCACUUUUAUUGUUACAGAUUCAAUAAAAUCUGUGAUAAAAAAUUAACUUCCUGUAUGCAGAUUACUGAGAUCACUUUAUUUCUGCUCUGUUUCAUUAAAAUAAGAGUGUUAUUGA